GUAGCACUCUGUCCAGCAGCAGUUCAAUUGCAAUUAGCCGCAGCUCCCCCAAACCCCCCAAUCCAAAAAAAGAGAGGAAAGAAAAAGGUGGAGCAAAAUUCGACUAGAAAGACGUUAUAGUGUGGCCCAAGCAUAUAUAAUUUGGUUUUGUUGUUAAUUUAGGCCCUCAUAACGUUUGCAUAUGAGUGCAAUAUCGGAAACGAUUACUAGUAAUAAUGAGGAGUGAGCAGUAGUGCAGCAGCAGAAGUAGAUUAUGGCGAUCUCAGCAUCCUCAUCAAGAUGGAAUAGGCAGCGUCCGCAGCUGCUGCUAGGAGUCCGGAGGACUCAUCGCAGAUGGCCCCCCUUCCUCCCCUUCCCCUCCACCAUCAGAAGAAACAUCGUCUUCCGAUGGCUGCUCAUUGCCCUAGCAUUUAUCGCCAUCUUACCACCUCUUUUCUUCCAUUUCAAGCUCCGACGCUUCCAUCAGAUGCAAUUUCGCAGGUGCCGUUGGCUUAGAAAUCCUCCUCUUGUAUGUGCUCAUGGUGGUGACUCCUCCAAGGCCUUCCCUAAUACAAUGGAUGCAUAUCAAACUGCUCUUCGUUCUCAAGUCGAUUGCAUUGAAAUUGAUGUCUCUCGUUCUUUGGAUGGGGGAUUGUUUGCUCUUCAUGACAGGGAUUUGCAGCGAAUAUUGGGGAACAGUACGUCUAGAGUUGGAUACUUGAGUACCAAAGAGAUUCAAGAACUGGUUCCGAACCAGCAUCUUGCAAUGAAGUUUCAUGAUCUAUCCAUUCCUACAAUUGAAGAUGCAUUGAAGUUUGUAUCUGGAUCGGUUCGAGAAGUAAUUCUUGAUGCAAAAGUUGGGCCUCCAUCAUACGAAAAAGGACUGGCACAGGAUAUUAUUUCUCUGCUGGAAAAGACAGUGUGUAAAAAUUGCCUUGUAUGGGCCAAAAGUGACACUCUAGCAAGGGACUUGAUCAAGCUAUCAGCUGAUGUUACGUUACCUGUUGAAGUUGGGUAUGGUUCCUCACUUCUACCAUGCGAGACAUUCUAUGUUGCCUGACUUGCCCGUUCCUGCCAAGCACACUUAUAAUUUUGCAAACCCUAACCAGGUGGGCUACAUUGUGAUGAUCAACCCGUCAACUGGAACUAGAAUGAACUUACUGAGGAUGAGGGGUGCUGAAGUGGUUGGUGUUUACCACCCUUUGGUUGAUGAGAAGCUUGUAAAAAUUCUGCAUGGGAGGAAAAAAAAGGUUUACGCCUGGACUGUGGAUGAUGAGAUCUCCAUGCAAAAAAUGUUAUUUGAGCACGUUGAUGCAGUGGUUACUAGCAAUCCCACAUUGUUUCAGAGAGUUAUGCAGAACAUGAGAACAGAGUGUCUCGAGGAAGGGUUUUCUUUGUCAUCCUGAAAGUCGCAAUAGCUGAAUGCAUGUACUCUGCGUGUUGCAGAUGUUACUCUUAUUAUGUAGACAUGGAUGCAGAGUAUAAAGAGAGAGCGGAGUAGGAAGUCAUCUGCACAAAAAUGCUAGUAGGAGUUGUUGAAUAAUUUUUUUCGUACCUGCUGAACCACGUUAGCUUGGUUAGGUUGUGAAUUCCCUGAAGCAGGUUACAGAAGGAGGUUUGCCAUCCUAAGUUGUUGCGAACUUGGACUGGUGAUGCCUCCUCCUCGCAUGAACAUGAACUUUUAAAUUUUUGAGUGGGUUGAUUUGGCGUGAUCCAAAUGAACUUGUGGGUAGACAUACAAAUAAUACAUUUUCUUGAUAAGAAUA